rnacentral:lncRNA from 1 species
UUCCAAACUUCUACAUGUUCCGCCUUUCGCACGUGGGCCUCUGUGCUGCGCUCAUCCUCCUCGCCACAUUCGCUCUUUUGCUCGUGUCCGCCAUCUUGUUUCCCGUGCUCCUCAACUCGCCCCACACCCAGGUACGCAUUCGAGGAAGAAAAUUCACAG